rnacentral:rRNA from 1 species
UACGUAGGGGGCAAGCGUUGUCCGGAUUUAUUGGGCGUAAAGAGCGUGUAGGCGGCUAGGUAGGUCCGUUGUGAAACUCGAGGCUCAACCUCGAGACGCCGAUGGAACCAUCUAGCUAGAGUCCGGAAGAGGAGAGUGGAAUUCCUGGUGUAGCGGUGAGAUGCGCAGAUAUCAGGAAGAACACCCGUGGCGAAAGCGGCUCUCUGGUACGUGACUGACGCUGAGACGCGAAAGCGUGGGGAGCGAACAGG